GGGGGUGAGAUUUGAGGGAUAUGGUUUCAAAUUUUUAAAAAAUAAAAAUAAAAAUAAAAAUUUUCAAAAUAAAAAGAGGCUAUUUUAGUCAUUUUCCUUCUUAAAAGCUAUUUUGUGACAAAAACUUAAAAAAUGCUAUUUGAGAGAAUUAUAUUGUGUAAUUCUAUAAUAUUAUUGUUAUAUUUCUUUUUCGGCAUUUAUUAAUAUAUAGUUAUUGGUUAAAUACAUUUUAAUUUAUUAUUAAUUUUUAUUCCUUACUAAUAUAUUUUUGAGUUAGAUA
rnacentral:lncRNA from 1 species